UCAAGCAGAAUCUUUGCACACUGUGUCAUAAGUGGGACGGGUAAAACAUUCUUGUGCUGAGCGCGCUUGAUUCCUAACCCACUAAUUUAAGGGUGGAACUAUUUCUGGAAAUGUUGUGAGCCUGUGUGCUGAAGAACCUCUUAUUCUGUGAGUGCAAAGGCACUAAUGUUUUGAUACAAAUCGUCUGUGCUCAGAUGUUUUCCAUACCCUUGGACAGAAACAAAACAGCACAAUUUUAGAAAGAAAUGAUGCUACUGACUGUUGGAGAGGAAAUACCCAAGGACACAAGGGCAGUUCACUGAACAGACACUCUCUCUGCAACAAUGAGAAGAGGAAGGAGAAGUGGAGGCAGAUACUGCAGGAAGGAAGAGACAGUGGCUGGGCAGAAGAGAAUUCAGUUAACAAAAAGAACUGAACCACCAGUGGCUGAAACUCCUUCUUGCUCUUGGGAGGAUCCAAAGGGCCAGAGCUGAGCCUUGGAUCACUUGGUCCCCCAGAUCUCUCAGGUGCUAUGACUGAGGUGUACUCAGUCCCCAGUUGUCCUUGCUUCCAACAUUGGAUGCUUUGUGUGCUUGAAGAGGGACUCUGAGAUGGGAGAAGAAAACUUUUCCUUAAUACUACCAGGAGUUAAUUAGCAGGGCCAAAAUCACUACCUGAGUCUUUCCACUGGAAGCUUCUGCAUGGUUCCUGCCUCCCACUGCCCACAACUCAGCACCUCACCGAGCCUCAUCAGUAAUUCAUACUUUAUUUCUGGAAAUGUUCCAUAUGUUUUAUGGCGUGCAGUGAUUUAAAAGUAAACAACAGUUUAGUAAGAAGAUACGGUAGAGCAUUGAGAACCCAAAUGUCUCAGUGUACUGCUUUUAAGUCUUAGAAAGAAUUCUGAAGGGUUUUAGUAUUGUUUUCAGAUUAUGUCAGCCUCCUGGAUGGAGGAGUUCAAUGACUGCAACAUCACCCACUCUGCAACUGCUUUGCCAUGAAAAGAAAUGCUUACCAUUUCCAUCAUUGAUGUUUUUUUUUAGCCAGGAAACCUACAUUGGGUUGACAGGUAGAGAUGGGAUGUCUGUUAGUCAAAUUCUGUGUGCCUCAGUAUCUCAGAAAGAACUGUUUGAGAGAAAGCAGAAACUUUUUGCAACCAGCUUUAAUCUCAGCAUAGCUGUACUUUUCUCAAGAUGAUUAAGUCUUCCUUAGUUCCUUGCAUUUUCCUGUUCUUCUUGUAAUCCAGUUGGAAUGGUUGAAGCAGGCUCAGGGCUCCUGUAAGUUGAUCUGACUGGAUUUCUUUGCUGAAAGGGUUCCUUAGGAUUUUCACACAGAGCUUUAUCCCAGGAGUACUAAAUGUUUUGGUCAUGCUUAUUAUGUCAUCCACUCCCUCUGAGACGGCUGAGUGCCUGCAGGCACUCAGGGUUUUGCUGUGGAUGUUGAAAAGCCCUCAUAAAGCUGUGCGAUACUGUAGCAGCAUCCAGACUGUCUGGAAAGGCUAAAGAGCAACUUCUAUGUUUUAUAUUUUCAGGUUUAUAAUUAAAUAUUCAUAAAAUGACUAGACUGAAAGGUAAAAGAAGGGAAAUGUCAUUUACUGGUGCACCUCAGUGAAGCUGGGAAUACUGAAAUCACAGCAUAUGUUUUCUCUCUUCUUAAAGACAGUAGAUUAUUACAAGCGGACUUUAUUGUGGUCUAUAAUUCUGAUUUUCUACUUCUGUCUAUGCCAAACAACAUUUUUUGUUUUGUUCAAACAGCAAUGAAGAGUGGUAUGUUAUCAAGCCACAGUGCUGUGACCUUUGGACUUAAAAUGAAUAUUCUAGCUACUUGGAGCCAACACAUAUAUUAAAUUCUAAGGUUGGAGGGAGGAUGAAAAACAGAGGACAUGCAUUUUAAGAUGUCUUGCAACCCCAAAGCUCAGUUCUUCAUUUCUCCUCAAGAUUUAUUGAUUUUGGUGGAUGACUACAGAUUUUACAAGGAUGUUAUGCCAAGGGCAUUCCAUUUAUUUUAGUAAACAGCCAGACAGCUAAAUUUCUAAACAGCUGUCUGGAACUGGAUGAACACAUGGACUCAACGUGUCUUAAAGAAAUAAUAAUGAUUUUAAUCUUGUUUCUUCCAGUAUAGGUAUGAUAUAAAUAACCUUUUUUUUUUUUUUUUUUUUUUCAUCUUUACAUACAUGGAGCAGAAAGAAACCAUGCAUGAAGCAUUUUUCUGAAAGAAAAUAUUAAGUCCUAUGUUCAGUAGAACCAAAUGCUUCAGUUUACUAAUGCAUUUCUUUCCCAAGAGAAUGCCUAACAAUGCUGCAGAACUUUAAUACAAAAUGUUUAAUAUUAAAAAAAAUAAACAACAAAAAAAACCCAAAAAUCCUCUGAAACAAAUCUUGAUUCUUAAAUAUGCUGUAACUUGACAUCGGCUCUGCUUUUUUUCAGCCUCUUUCCUUAUUGCAAAAGAAGAAAAAAGUAACAUCCAUUGUUUUCCAAAUACAAUCUAUUGAUUUAACUGCGUUAGGUGAAGGCCAGACGUCUCAUUAGGUUAGGUACAUGGCAUUCUUUCUUCUGUUGUCCCUGGAAGCAAUAUAUCUAGGAAGUACUACUUUCAUCAGUAUAAAGACUCCAGUUCUUAAUAUCCUGAUAACAUUAAAGGUGAGUGAAGCACUGAAAAUUUUCGAACUAUCAGAAAACAAUGAAUAAUUGAAAGCAAACACAGACCAGUGCACUUUUAAACAUUGAGCAAGUAACUGAAUACCAGGGCCACAAGUACUAUAUUAAAGGUAGAUUGAAAUGGGCUUUGAACCAAGCAGGUUGAGGCAGUUAUUUAACAAGUAUUUUUGUGUUGGGAUGGGCAUAUACAGUCACUAUCUGUCUAACUCUUGCUAUGCAUGUUGUGCCAGCACAAUAAUUUCUUUUUUUUUUUUUUGAGCAGGAGGGAAGGAGGAGAUAGACUGAACUAUAUUUCAGUUAGAUUAGUUUCCCAUUACAUCCCUCUGUGUAGUAGUACAAGCAUUUGCCACAGAAUAAUCUAAGGGCUGGCACUGGCAAGAAUACACAGCUAGAAAAAGAGGAAAUUGCUUAAACAGGACUCCAAGAACCACGAAAAUAUCAGGUUGGUAAAGGCUUUACAGAUUCCAGUACCAACACUCCCGAUUUGGGCUAGAGAAGAAGCAGUGUUACCAUUAAAAAUACAUCCCAAAACUUCAUAUUAAAUCUAUUCUUAUGAGUAUGGCUGACUGCAUCUCUCUGUGAAGUUUGACAGCUAUCUACUCUAUUACACACAGACACAUCUGAAGAAUAAAACCAAAAUCAUUAUAACAACAUAACCAAAAUACUGGUUCUCACUGUAGUGAAUACAGAGAAAGGCACCACCCAAAGCCUGCUUUUGAGGACCUAAGGUUUAAAUGGCCACCUGUAGUUGCUUAUUAAAAGGCACAUAUUUAAAAGGUUACAUCUUGUAGCCAUUCACAAAAUUCCCUAUAUUUUGACAGUGUUCCUAAAUUACGUGCAAUGUACAAACCAAACUACGUAAUUCCCCACUACAGGUUUGUUCUUGUUCCUGAUGAUAGCAAAAUAGCCCCACUCUACAAUACAGAAGGACAUAGGCCUACAAUGAGAGAUAAGCAAGAAGACAGCUUAGUCAAAAAUCAUACAGAUUCUUGUUAGUAUGGUAGUGAAGUCUAGGCAACUAACUAAUCCUUCUGGCUUAAACAUGGUUUUGAAGUAUUUCUGUGUACAUCAUAAUAUCUUUUGUUGUGUUUCCCUGUGCUGACUGCUGAGACUAGUCAACAAAGAAAGGUUUCGGUUAGUGUCAAUUGUGAUAGGGGUUUUGGGAAACGUGAUUAUUAAUUAGUAUUUAUGUGGGCCUGUGUGUAGAUCUGCUCCUCCUAAUGAGAAAAUCUGAUUUUCAUAUCUGAAGUGAGCUUUAGUGUGUAUUGUUAUCUAAUUUUACUUUAAGACUGAAAUCUAUGGAUGUGAAAGUUAAAUGUUUGGAAAUUAAAAUACAGCUGUCUCUACUAUAAUCACAGAACUGGAUAGAGAAAUAUUUUCAUUAAUUCCUGAUCUGCCUGUUUUGAUAGAAGCUCAGUUGUCUGAUAAGGCAGUGAGACAAAUUAAAUCCUGCUCCAGGCAGUACACAGACCACAUGACUCAAAAAGAGAAAUUAAAAACUGUUGAACAUCUGUUAUUACUGCAAAUUUAAUCUGUAGAACAACUUCAUUAUUUUACCUCACAUAUUUAACUUUAUUAUUGAGGAAAAGGAGCAUCUUGUGGUUAGAACAUUGUUUUUGGGGAAAAAAAAUCUCUUCUUUAUUCUCCUAUUUGCCAUUGAUUCCUGAGUGACUUUACACAAAUACAUUAGUCUCUUUGUACCUUAGAUUUCCUGUCAGCAAAACGGGAAUAUUAUUGCUGCUUGCUUCAUGAGGUGCUGGGAAUAUUAAUUAGUUUCAAAUUUUCCUCAUCUGGAAAUGGCACAAACUACUUCUCUCUCUGAAAGGACUUCGAGACUAAUGAUCAAGAGUACUGCGUAUGGAGCCAAGCAUUAUUUUUUGAUGGUAUAGAGAAUAGUUAUAGGAGAAGCUUCGAAUGUGACAUAAAUCAUAUAAUAUAUUUCACUGCCAUGAACAGUGUGUCUUUUAACCGUAUUUGACCACAAACUUACUUUAAAUAAUGUAAUUAAUACAAAAUGUCUUAGCUUUAUUGAAUGUUUUCAGUGUGGAUUAUCAUAACCUAUGACAUAUUGGAACAUAAUUUCUGCAGUAUUGCAUGUGGUUUACUUUUCUCAAUAAAGGAUAUUAAUAAUGAAAAAUAGUGGCACAAUACAUAGAAAUUUAACGUACCUCUCAAGAGUUCUGUUGUCUAGUUUACUCUACAUACAAAGAGUUGAUUGCCUGCAGUCUUGAUCACACAAAGCUUCGAGUGAGACUCAUUGAGGAACAAAGCGUAUUAGCAGUGGUGCUCUCUAUUGCUGUCAGAACUUGUUCUACUGUUUUUACACAGUGCUCAGCCAAGCUGAGUUGAUACACCAUUUAAAGUUGGCACUAGUUGAGGUGUUUCUGCACCAGGUGCCAUUGCAUGUUGUAGACAAGUACCCCAAGUACUCCAUGGCAAGGAGGAGCAAAGCAAUGCAGUUGCAGUGGGAUGAGAAGGAAGAAAAAUUUUUGAGCUGAAAACGCACAGAAUCUUUUAAUGGUUAAUUAAAGUCAUCAAACACCAUCCCCACUAUACUCAAAAUGCAUACAAAUAUGCUGCUUUUUUGACACGUUUCCUUUGAGUGCAAACUUGAGCUGUAGCUGAGCAGCACCCUUCAGAGGAUUCUCACACAGGUAGAAUGCACUCUUUCAGUGCAGUUAAAUGGAGUUAAGCUAUGACUCCAUCCAGUAUAGAAAAUAUUGAUUCCCAUUUUGUAGCACAGAAUUAUUGUAGAGUGAAUCCACCCAUAGGUACCAAUCAAAAAAUGAAACUAUCUGGGAGGGGAAAAAAAAAAAAAAAAAGACAUUCCAAAGAUGUAAAGGAAACCAAACAAGGCAUAAAUAUGAAAGAAAGAAAAAAAAGUAAAAUUUAGGAAGUGGUAUAAAAUAAUAAUGUGCAAUUGUAACAUGAAUGGAGAAAUAGUCUUCAGUCUUGAUGAAGAGUACAAAUUUAAUGUACUACCCUAUUGACUACAUUUGUUUGAAUUGACUUGAUAUGAUUAAAUCCCGCUAUAUUUCAGCUCUGUGUUACACAUGGUAUGGAAGUGCUAUCAAAACAAUGUGAAUGCCAAUAAAGAGAAAUCUGGUUUGGAAGAUAGGAGACUAGAUGCUUUACAGAAACAAAGACCAUGAUUAAUCAGAAUCACAGCAAGCAGGUUUAAAUAAUCUGUCCAGUAAAACAUACAAUAAUGAUACAUAAUUUAUAUAAAAUCUAAAGAAAGGGUAAGCUAUAAAUGAUAUUGCAAAAUAGCAGAUACGAAUAUUCACAGAAAAGACCACUUUCUACUCCAUGUAUUUGCCCUGUAACCACUAGGACAUAGUUGUCCAAAUGAAACUGGUAGAAAGGCUACUGUAGAUAUCUACACAAUGAGAUGUGGCCUUGCAAAAGAGAAGACAUGACUUCCAAGAAACGGUCUUUCAUAAAACUUAAGGAUGGGUUCUGAGAUAUUUCUCUGAGUAAAAUAAAAUUGCAUCGGUCUGAUUCCCUUUGUGGUUUACCUUAAUAGAUAUAUAUUGUCUUUCUCAAAAUACAACUCUGCAGAAUAUUAUAUAGAAUUUCAUAAUGGUGUCAUCAGCUGGAGAAUACAGGAGCACAGGGGAUAACAUUUCUGGAACAAAUCAUCAUUCUCAAAGGAUGAGUAAGGCAUUAUGAUGAGUCUACAGUGCAUUUAGGUUUUAGUGCUGCUUUCAAAAGGAAACCUACAGUGAACUCCUUGUUUCAAAUGAAUUAACUACCCUCUCACAGUCUUGUCUUUUCUUUUCUUUCUUUCUUUUUUUUUUUUUUUUUUUUUCUCUCAAAAUGUGGACAUGAAUCAAACUCUGGAGGUGUAAUAAAGAACUGGCAACUUUUUCUUCCUUCCUACCCUCUGGCCCCAAUCUGCCUUUUAUUUUUUUGAUAUUCUCCGAACUUCAGUCACCAUAAGGACAUUUCUGUAUUAACAGAACUUUUGACAAUAAGCAAUAUCUCACAUCGUGCUUCUUUACUAACCAUCUCAGCCACUUGCAAGCAGAACUAAAUUAUAUCCUCUGCCUCAGCAAGAACCAGAUACUUUCCAUUCCUACCUCCCCACUGAAUGAAAUGAAAUGUUUCCUAGUCAGUGAAAAAAAUCGUAGAUGUAAGCAUUUAUACUGUACCUGUAAAAACAUUUAUCGUCUGAACUAUAUAAUAAUUAAUUUUCACCGUAUCUCCAUAAAUCCCUUUGCUCUCUGUGAACUUGUUUUAUGAAAUAAAAUUAAAGUGAUCAUCCCUUUUCAAUGGCUACACUCACUAUUUUUCUUUUUAUGAGCUUUUAAGGAGUCUGGUAAUUAUUUAGCCAUCCAUAAGAGUGAUAGCUGAUCCAAAAUAAAAUAGAAGGGAAAAGGCCAACUAUUUCAGGAAGACUUAAAAGCUUUUUCAACUUAAUUCCUGAUAUAUUAGCUGCUAAAUUACCAAAACCUGCUACAAUAAAAAGACGGAGGUGCAGAAAAAGCAUUCUUUAUGCGACAUGCUGUGACAUUCUUGUCAGAGCCUACUUUGUCCACAGUUUCUUGACCAUUCAAAGCCUCUGGUGUCUCACCUAUCCACAUCUGUUCUGAAGUCAGUUUUCUUUCUAUUCUUGUACUCUUUAUAUCACACAAACCCAUUUGAAAGCAGUCCUUUAUUUUCAAUCCUGAUGUCCCCACCACUGUGUUAUAACACUGACUUCUCCGUUGGCAGCUAAUGGAGCACACCUCCACCAGACAUACCAACUCUGAUGCUAAAUUGACCUUGGGCAUCUCUUGCUAAAGCAGUGAGCAGUAAUAGCUUAAUAUCUUUAAAUCUUUACAGCUUUAGCAGGAAAGAAUAAUCUUUGUUUUUCUAAGACAUCCUAAAUACAGUAGUGCUGGUGCUUACCUGUAUACAUAGUUACAUUUACUGACAAAUUAUAAGAGGAGUUGCUUGUUAGCUAUGCUAAUUUAUUUUUUUGUGAAGCGCUUUGCUCAGUAGUGUACAGGAAAUCAACACAGAUAGACACAUAAGCCACAGCCUCUGCUUUUGCAGGCAUUCCAAAAUCAAUCGGGAAGGCUGCAAUCAUUGCUUCUUUAUCUUCCUUCUCUCACGUGAUUCAAAAUAAUGCCUGUAUUUUGCCACACAAUGUACAGGAACUGGUUAGCCAUGGUGGCCUGUUCCUUCAGCAUCUGCUCCUUUGGGAGCACCCUGUAGUGAAAGUAGCAGACCAGUUUUUAACCUAUUGACAUUAGGAACAGUUUCUCCCUCUCUUGAUACUGUGUCAGGAGCCCUUCAGAGACAGAGUACAUAUUGGGAGGAUGAAGAGGACUCUGGAAGAGCACAAGAAGGGCUGUAGCUUUGACUGGUUGAACCUACCCAGAUACAUGUCCUGGAACUUUAGUGAAAGUGGGUUUUGGCUAAGAGAUGUAUCUCUGUGCUUUUUGCCUGUGUAUGAAUUAGCAGAGAUCUGCCUUGUACUGGUAUUUUAUGUACUCUGGGAAAUAAAAGUAAAAAGCAUUUGUUAAAAAGAUAAUAUUUUCUAGGAUUUGAGACAGUUUCUGACCCAGUUUUAUCCUAACACAAUAUAAAGUUGCCUACUAGCAAAUGACUAGCUAUGGUAACUGGGAGGGGGCCAAGAAUGGCCAGUUUUUUCUAUACACUGGAAAAAGUAAUUGUAUAUCUCAUAAAAACAAUGUUUAUGCACUUAAAUAUCUUUUUCUCUCUAUCGGAAGUGUUCACAUAUCUUAAUUUGUUUCUUCACGAAUUACAAAGUACAACUCUCUAGUGACUGGCUUCAGCUUUUGAGCUUGUGUUGUACUAUCAUGAUACUGCAGCUUUGAAUCUUCUUCUCUGGUGUUUAUGUCCAGGAAUGUUUCAGGCUAACCUUCAGCUCUGACUGAAACUCUAGAAAUAUUUCACUGGACAAUAAACCUUUUCCUUUACUUCUUAACUGUGGUGUUUCACUAAAAUAUGUUAGCAAAACAUGUUCAAAUUCUCAAUCUAUGCUAUUGUUUAUUCCCAAACAGUUAAGAUCACGGCUUUUAGAACAAAUAUUAUGGAAAUUUUUCUGGCCAUCCAUUAAAGAGGUGAAGAUGAGUAAAGAAAUAUCAGCUAAGUGAUACUGUGGACUAAAUUUCAAAUACCAGAGUCAGUUAUUCCCUUUUAGAGAAACUUAUGCUACAAACAUACAAGAUGAAAUUAAAGAAAUGGGUGAUGAUGAUAAAUUUCACCACAUGGAAAAAUAAAACCCUAUAAAAAUUCAAUAUAAAUUCUAUCUGAUGUAGACUCCAGACAGAUAUUACUGUUCAGUGGAUGCCACAUCAAAGCUAUAGAAACAGCUUUGCUUCCAUUAACAUUUUUUUAGAUCUAUGAAACCACUUAUUUCCUCCCUAAAACUGAAGCAUUUUUGUGUCAUCCAAAUCCUUUUUGGAGGCACAGACAUUUUCUGUGUUUGUUCAACUUUUUGUAGUUCAGAUUAAGUAUUGCCACCCAUUGUAUGUCACAGUAUAUAAUAACAUAUUCCUCUCUCAGAUUUCACUUUCUGCACAUUUUUCUCUGAAGUGAAUCUGUUUUAACAUAAUUAACUCAAAAAGAGAUUUAGUACAGAGGCAAGUUAUAUAAAGGAGUGGUUGGUUAUUAAAAAUGACAGGCAAGUCCUGAUACAUGUGCUUCCAAGCAGCAACUCUACAUAAAAUCUUGUAUAAUUAUAAUAACACAGGGUUGUAUCACCCAUAGCUAUCCAUCACUCAAAAAAUAUUUUAACUGUGUCAUCAACUUAAAAUGACAAUGACGCCUAUUUUCAACCCUGUGCAAUAUAUUCAGUAUUGCACAUGAAAGAGAAAAGAAGCAUUUGGGCACUUCCAAAAGAAGUUACCCCAAUUGAAUUUUCACCUCACAGGAAAAAAAAAAAAUCCCCUUUGCCAGAUUACUGCAGAAUGCAUCUUUAACCAGCUAUCAAAUUAAACACACACUAUCAAGUUUUACUUCAGGUUCCUUAGAAUGUUCCCAACUCAAACGCAGCUGACUGCCAUUCACCUCUUGGAAAAGAGUUACUCUUUUUCCUCAAAUGUCUUUGCCAUGAAUCACAGGUGAAUAUUCACAACUGCUAUUUGUUUUGAAAUCAGAGAAUGUUUCUCUACUGAGCUCUACGUGAAGUAGUUCAAAUAGUCUCUAAUAUGAGCGACAUGUAAGCUAAUUUACUACUGCAGGCCUGACGCUUCAGUUACCAGGGCUUCACAGCUGUAGGAAAUCUAGCAUACUUUAGGGUUGGCUAAAUAAAUCAGUUUAAACACAUCAUCAUUAUUUAUUUGAUGUUCUCUCUUAUUUUCCUCAUUAUACAUUUUAAACACAAAGUUAAAGACUAGUUAACAAAACUUUGUAGGAUGUGGGCCUGACUGCUUGUAUGUACCAUUUGUAGUUAUAGGCUAAAUAGAAUCCCUACAAAAAAAUGGAGAAAGAAAAAUCUCUGUAGGCAUGAGACAGGCAUGAGAAACAACAUUACUGAAGUAGUAGACAGAAAAAAAAGUCCCAAUGAACCCCAAGAAAGUGAUCUGUUGUGUUUUAAGCCUGAGGGCAAUUAAUUCAUUAGAACAAUUUUACUAAGGACAUAGUUCAUUAACACUUGAAGUGUUAAGACCAGAAUAUAUUUCUGCAACACAUGUUUUAUCUCAGCCAACAAUUAUGGGCUAAACAUACUGUGGAGUUCACAUGAAGUGAGUUUAUCACCUUUUUUGUGUCAAAGAUCACAUUCUUUGACCUUCCUGGCCCUAAUAUUUCUAUAGUUUUAAGUACAAUUUUCUUUAAAAGGACACUAGUCUCUUAACUAAAAUGUUAUUUGGUAGCUUUUGUAGCUUUGUGCAUAAUACACUUUCUGACAAAACCGUUAUAGCCAUAAGGAAAUUUGGAUAUACUUUUCAGUCCACUUUACAAUUUAGAAAGCUGAUUUUAUCAUUAUUUAGAUACCUAAUGAGGGACAUUUGAAUCACUUAUGCUCAUUGCUUAUUAAUCACUAAAGAAGCUGGAGUUUUUUUUUUUUUUUAAGUUGGCCUAUGAAGGGACAAAAGUCUAAGCCCAUGCAACUAUCCUAAUCUUUCAAAAAGACUGGUUACAUUUAAAUCCCUUGCUUUACACCCCUAUCUAUAUACAGGUAAAAUCCUAUAUGUUUUUCUCUCCAUAGUUUUCAUUAUACUAUGCUGAAGAAAUCAAAGAGGGGUAGAACUUCCGGGUCACAGUAGGAUGAAAAAAAGGUAGCAAUUGGUGUCGCCCAUUUCCAAAUAAUUUUUUCCUUGCAAAAGAUUUGUCUCUUUUUCUCAGUACACUUCAUAUUUUCUCUGUCUUGCCAGAAAUAAAAACAAAUACACCUGGGGUGGAAAAACUUGUGUAUAAAUACAGGAAAAAGGGAUACCCUUUGGCAGUUCAUGAGGAAGGUCAGACUGAGGCUAAAUAAACAGGAUACUUUUCUCUUCCACUCAAAACAUCAAUUCCUAAGUGUGUUAUGCCUUAAUAAAAUUAAAGAGUGAAUUCUGUAUUAGUCCCUCAACAUCCUAAUUUUAGAAAAUCUCAUUUCUCCUGGGGUUCUCAUCAGUUCCUCCAGCUGAUACACUACAAAUGAAACUAACCUAGGAAGUUCUUUUCAGUGUUUUUACUCAUGCUAUUUAGUUUUCAAAAUGUGACUGUUUCCUUAAUUACCAAAACAAUGUGGAUCACAACCUUUUAAAAGAAAAGUAACGUACCCUUCCUCUUGGUUGGAGCGGGAAGGAAGCAAACUCUUAAAAUGUGAUCUGCAAGUAUCUGGACAUUAUAAGACAAGGGAGAAUAGUUUACAAAUUCAUAUUUUAGAAAUCUGUUAAUUGCUGAGAUCUGGAUCAUGAUGUCUGCAUGGUCAGUGUUGGUAACACACAGAGUAGGUUAAAUCUUGUGCUGGGUCUGGCUUUCUACAUAGCAGCCUGUAUGGUGCUUUGGUUUGGUUUUGUGACUAAAUCAAUGUUAGCACACCAGUGUUUUCGCAUCCAGAUUUUCUCUCUUUCUCACUCUGCUCCUGCAGUUAGUGGGCUGUAGUCUGGGGAUGGAAAAAGAGGUUGGUAGCAGACGCAGGCAGGGCAGCAAAUGUGAGCUGACCAAAGACGUGUUCCACACCAUAUGAUAUCAUGCUCAGAAAUAAAAGCUCAAGGAAAGGAGGAGGAAGCAGGGAUAUUUGUGGUAUUGGUGUUUGUCUUCCCAAGCAACCACUACAUGUGCUGAGGCCCUGCUUUCUGGGAGGCGGCCAAACAUCUGCCUGUCAAUGGGAAGCAGUGAAUAAAUUGCUCUUUGCUUUGCUUACAUGCUCAGGUUUUACUUCAUCUGUUAAAAUGUCUUUCUCUUGACCUAUGCGUUUCUUGCUUUUGGUAUUCCUAUUCUGCCCACCUUUCCACUAGGGCAUGGGAGAGGAGUGAGCGAGCAGCUGUGUGGGUGCUUGGCUGCUGGUUAGAGUCAACCAGCCACAGCCCCCACUUUGAUUUAACUGUCUCCUCAAAUUGACUUUAUCCAAAGUCUCACUAUUCUAUUGGUUAUUUUCACUUUCCCUAAAUCAGGCUGAUUUAUGAACAAUUGUUGCACGGAAUCAAACCUACCAUCUCAGGGAGGCUCUGAAAACUAUCUGCAAAGUCACAGACCUGCUACCAUUUCAGGUGUGUCCUGCAACACAGUUGUCCUCUUGUGACCCAAGUUGCAUUGCAUGUUCUUUAUUCACUUAGAGGGAGUACACAGGGAAGCAAUGGAUUUCCAACUCUUACGAGAUACUACUUGCAUUGUAAAUUUAGUCAUAUUCUUAAAACUACUCUGCACAAAUUUUGUCCCCUGUCUUAAAUAAAUGUUGCUUUUUGGAAACCAUUUUUAUGAUAACAUUAAAUUACAGUUGUUUAAAUUUGAGAAAUAGAAGUGCAUGACUGCAUCAAUCAAAUUCAAUUUCUGUUAAGGACAGUUCAUGAGCAGUAAGGUUUUACUAAAUCUUAAAGAGCUAUUCCUGAAAUUAUUCAGUGUCUUUGAACUAUUUUUUUUUUAAUUGUAUUUGCAAUGUCCUUUUCAUACUUAAAUAUGGAGAAUACUGCAUGAAAUGCUUAUUGUAUAUGUAUUUUCUAUUGUAUAUUCAAAAUCUGCAAGUAUAUGCAAAAGAGAAGGAUAUAAAUAUUAGUAAUACAAGGAAACUCCUAAACAAGAGUGGAUAAAAACAGCUUUUAAGAAAAUGGCUUAAUGUCUUUUGUUAAAAAAUUUUUUUUCAGUUUCUUCCUUUGAUCAUAUUACACAUACAGACAUACUGCACUGUACUCUUUGGUUUGAUGCAUUCUAAACUUUGAGGACCUAAGAGCCAGGAAAACGGAAAAAGAAGUGAUUUACUGACAUGACUUCAGUGUUCUUAGAAGCCAGCAAACAACUUAUGGCUGAAGAGUGCUGACAUGCAGUAAUUGCUCAACAGAGACACUUUUGAUGUGGAGAGAAUCUGCUUUUAAGGCAGUGGGAGAAAGACAGUGCAAAUACCACUUGUGCUUGGUGGAUUUUCUAGUGGUUGGCUACCUACUGGACAUUGCCGACACCAUCAAAGCCACUGAGACCCGCUAGUCACUUCCCCAGAGAAAUACAGGCAAUCGACACCUACUUUUCACAAUAAUCUUCUGAGGUGGGGUUUAACUCAGGAAAAGUUGCUUAAGGAAACAGUGGUCAGCUUGGGGGAAAUACCAGCCUUCUUACAAACAUCAAACAACCUUAGAAAAUCUAGAGGGACCUUCUUUUUUGUGGGAACAUGCUUUCUUCUAUGCUGAGCUUAUUAGAGAAUUAAAGCCAAAGGACAUAAACCUUUAUUUACCAGAGGGUGCAGCUCCAGGGGCAGCGCCAUCUAAGUUAGCAGAGCUGGUUUUCAUGUGAGAGUUCUUAAAAGUAAGUAUUUGUCAAAACACUCCUGGUUUUGAAUGAGCUCUGUCAAUCAGAACUCCUUUGGCUUCAAACAAUACAAGCAGGAACUGCUCUAUUACCAUCAGUAAAACUUGUAGCUAUGCAUAAGACACAAAAAUAAGGUUUGGAAAGUACAAAUACAAAAUUCUAAACACUGCUUAGGAAAAAAAAAACAAACCGUCACAUAUAGUAAUCAAAUAGAAAUCAGCAUUUAAUAAUACAGGACACUUUUGCAGAUGGUGGCAGAUACAAUCUUUCAAAAGUACAUUAAUUUGAUUUUUCCGAUCUGACACAGUACUCUUGCCCUCUUCCCUCUAUCAGUUGAUUAAACAUAAAAAUGAGAGAAAAUUAAAAUCUGCUGUGACCUGAAACACAUCGGCAACUGAUGUGACACUGAAACAGCUAGAAACAUAGUCUCGUAUUUUUUGUAGACAUAGUUUUGAAUGAUAUCUUAUUCUGAUAGCUCUAUUUAUGAAAAUAAUAGGAUAAACCCGGUAAGGAAUGGUGAUUUAGUGCAUUAUCUUUAAAGCAUACGUUGAGAGAGCUGAAAAAACUAGAAUACUUCUCAAUAGUACUAUUAUACUAAACAAAAAUCAGACUGAAAAUGAGUUACAUAUUUCUUCAUAUAGAAAAAUAAUUUGGUGGUAAACAAGCAUGGAUAAAGUCUGAUUUUUGACAUCAGUGUCCUUUUUGAUAUAACAGAAACAGACUUCAUUGAGUUUUUCACUUGUUUAAAAAAGAAAGCCAUAUGGAUCUCAGCACUGGAUCUUAUAUUUUACUUCAUAUGUAUUUGGACAUUAUUCUGCCAUCCUUAUUUUUUCUAAUUGUAUCAUUCUAAAUAUGCUUCUUAAUUAGUAACAAACAACAUGAUUGAAUACAAAAUACCUGAGUGUGAUUUGUUUUAGAUAAUACUCAUACCAAUUUCUGAAUGGGAUUUAAGGCUAUACUUACUUGUUUUGUAGAUCUGUACUUUGAACUAGAUGUUAACUUGAAGAAGAAGGUUUACCUAAAAGUAACCUUGUUAUAACAGAGACUGUACUAAGUUUGUGGUGACUUGCCUGUGUGUUGUUUAUAUACUGUGGCUUUCUACUCACAUAAGCCUUUGGGAAAGGAAACUCCAACCUGCCAGACAAAAGUUAAAAGUACUGAGGAACCGUGUGCUAAUAGCUAAGUUAGUUUUUAGUUACAUACUCCACAAACACACAUUUUCCUUUUACAAUAUGUAUCAUAUGGCUAUCAAAUGUACUUAUUGUGUUUUUUGACAACUGCAAGAAUGGCUGGGUACUGGAUAAUCAAGGAAACUUGCGAUACACGUUCACUUGUGCAAAAUGCUGCCUUCGUGGAAACUAUCACAGCCAUGCCUUGAAUCUGCAAACAUUGCCACUUAAAAAAAUCAAGAUGUGACACUUUAGCUAAAGAAACACAGCACAAUACUGGGGCUGGUGCUCCUAUCUUUCAUUCUUCCACAUGGGAUGAGUAGCAUCUGGCCUUUUGCCUUCCAAGAAAUCAAAAUAUUCCUAGUAUAUCUUUAAAAAGUUCCAGGAUCAAAGGAAAGUCAAAUCCAAUGUGGUUUAAAGCUUGUGAAACUCUGGAACAUCUUUGGGGUUCACAGAACUUGUUUUAGCUUGAGAAACAUUUUUCCUUUAAUUAAAACCCAUAUUUCCCAGCCAGGGUAAUUCAAUUUUAUAUUCAGCUAAAGUGAGAGAGUGCUGUGUGUUAGCAUAAUCUAAAACACACACAACUGAAUGGGAACAGAAAACUGGAUGCUAAAAUGUCUUCAGACAUAAAAAAGCAAAUUACUCAUUAAGAAGAAAAGUGAAAGAGCAACUAAAAAGGCAGAACAAGACUAGACUACUCUUGCAACAAAAUCAUGAAGCAGAAGUGUGAAGUCAUUAACUUCCCUUAAUAAGCAGUGUUGCCAUAUUUGGGUGCUGAUGUUCAACUAGAGGAAAACGUCAUAGAAUUUUAUAGACCCAUAUAAGUUCACAUCUGCUGAAAGCCGCUUCUGAAAACACAGCUAAUUUCUCACAUUUUUAUUUUUGGGAGGAGGCGAGUGAGCAGAUUUCAGAGGGGGAAAAAAAAGUGGAAGAAGGGAUUAACUCACGAAGUUAAACAGGCAAUGGCAUGCUUAAGUUACACUCAACUGAACUGGAGCAAUGUCAUAAAUUAAGAAAAAGGGAAAGGCAAGUCAGAAUAUUCUUACUCAGAGAUGUAACCAGUUGUGGCAUACUGUCUUCUAGUUCACUCCAAGAGCUGAAACAGCAGUUACUUGCUCAUAUACCAGUUGCACUUGAAACUUCCUGCUUACAUGUAUCAUUCCAUGGACCUCACACUAGACUCAACUAACUUCAUUGGUCUCCUUUUAUAGGAAGAACAGAAGUAGGAUAUUAUUCCUGACUAAUGUCACAAAAAAAUGUUCUCACAUGUGUGGCAAAUUUCGUAUUUACUUUACCUGGAUAACUGAUAGCUAAGUGAAGUAUGAUAGGGAAAAAUUAUUUUUUAGAAAUGUGAAGAAUUAAGGAGAUUUGCAACUGAUCUGAUUUAUAACUUAAAAAAAACCAUAAUCUGAGUCAACUAGAAGCUUUUGGCUUUAAUUUGCCUGCCAUGAGGAACAGAGACUAUCAAUAAAUAUAAGGGGAAAUGACAGACCUAAUGACCCCUAACACCACUCAAGGCUACCUCUGGAGAUAGAAAAAGUAUUCGGAAGAGGACAACUAAAUUGCUUUUAACAGGUUAGAGAAAUCCACCUGGAGUGAUAGAUUUCUCACUGUAAAAAGUCAGUUUGAGAGAGAGUGAGAGGUGAAAAUUCAAAGAGAUGUCCAGUCAUGAAAAUGUGAGUGUGGAAAACUGGGAAAACUUUUGGGAUUAUUCUAAGGCAUUAUAGCUGUGCUGACAAAACACUUAAUAUCUGGCUAGAUAGAUUUGCAUUUGGCAGUGCAAAAAAUGUGCUGCAAUAAGAUUCAGAUAGGAGAAGAACAAAAACCUUGACUAUUCUAGAUAUACUGCUACACGUUUAAGUUUAAGCCGACCUCGAACCAGAGAAACAAAUAGACAAAAAACUGCCUUUAUUACUGAAAAUUUACCUUGGGCACUGCCCUGGGAAGUGUUUUUAAGAGUAUCCUGUAGGGUACUUCCCUUCAAUGUUUUAAAAACUUUUUGUUGGCCCAACAGACCACUGUUAGCUCUGAGCAUUUAUUGCAGAACACACUGUACUCUUACCACCAUUUUUACUUCUUCAUAAGUUUCAGAGUAGGAAUUAUCCAUAAAGGUAUGCAAACUACAGCUGAGACAGUGUUUGGGAGCCUUUGUUUUGUUUCACCAGUGCCUGUGGCAAUUCUCACAGUUGCUCCUUUCUAAACAAAAGAGGAUAUCAUGGAGUAAAAUUAUAAUGUCUGUACUACUGGAGUAAAGUAGUCUUUUUUCACCAUCUUCCCGUCUACGGCCAAACCACUAAGCUGUAUUUUAAAAACUUAUUUAGAAAUCUGAAUCUGGAUGGAGAUGAAAAAGUAAAGUAAAUCUUAGGUAAGGAAACAGCAUUUGAGUUACUCAACUUGUGCUAGGUUCACCCUUAUUUGUUAUUAUUAAAUUAACUCUAAGCUGAAGAGAAGAGGAAAGCUAUAAUCAGUUGCUCUUAGCUCAGGCUUGAAAACUGUAGCCAAAGUUUUUUUAAUAUUCAGGAUUCCUUUACCUAAUUGUAACCCCACAUUGACAACUAUACUUCAAGAAAUGCUAAGAACUUGCUUUUGUAGCAAAACUGCUAAUAGGUUUUGAGAACGUUUUUAUUUAUUUAUUUAUUUAUUUUACUGUAAUAUAUUCAUUUUAAGAAGUGAAAACGUCUCAGCUCAGAUUUCCAGUGGUAUAGUGUCUUAGAACGAAUCACAGCACCUUUCAGUAUUAAGGCGUGAUUACUCCUGCAACACAAAUGGUUGAUUUGUAAGUUUUUUCUAGGCACCAUGAGACAACAUCCCCAAGGCUGGUUGCAAAACUUGCUAUAAAAGUUUGGUUGCCAACCGGCUGCUUGGUAUCUUGUUUCUAGGGGCAUGGGAACUGUAGGCUAGCUUAGUUUUCAUCCCUAUCCUCUCCUCCAAGGUCAUUAUGAACAAGAUUUCCAAUGUUAUCCAUCAUCACUUACAUGGGGGAAACUGAAUCUGUUUCCUUUUUAUAAGAAUUACUGUUGCACUGAAGGCCUUGCACUAGAGAAGAAGGCAAGUAGGCUUUAUCCAAUAGAGUCCUGUUCAUGGCUGUGCUAUUCACUGUUUCUUAGCUCUGAAUACUCAACUUCUUCAUGCAGAGUUGUUAUUUAUGGUCAACACAUAACAUUUUAUCUCUUCUGAAAAGUCGACUUAAAUUUGUCAAAGUGCUCAGCUGUUCUGUAAAUAUUUAUGUUUCUUGUAACGGUAAUGGUCACAGACACGGAAUAUGCAACACACAUCUACAAUAUUUUGUUUUGACAUGCCAUUCCAGUGGAGAUAUUAAGUGAUAGAACUUGCUUGACACAGCAUAAUUAGUAAUCUUGCUCAUAUAUUUUGCUUCUUUUUACUGCUAAGAAAGCUAACAGUGCAAACCCAAUUAUUUUUUCUAGAAGUAAUAACAACUCUAAAUCCAAGGUUUCUCAUCAUCUGUGCUGUACAAGGAUAACGUGGUAGCUCCACAAUUGUUUUCCUACUGGGAUCUUAUAUUGGCUGGUUGCCUGAUUGCUUCUCUGUAGUUGUUUGAGUAUGUGUAGAUUUACAUUUUUUAAAAAGGAGAAAAAAGAAAAAACAACUACUCAGUUUCAAAGCUUACGGCCAGAUGUUGUCAGGUCCCAUUCGGGUACUUCUGCAGGGGCGAGUCGAAGGCAGAGCGAAGUGUUUUCCUGACUCACAUUGCCUUGCGAAUGCGCUCACUAGGAUCAUAUUCUUUACUCCCUCUAGAAAUGUUCAUCUGCUCCAAUUUAGCACCAGCCCUAAUCUUCCAAUGUGGGAAGCAGCUGGGUGGAGGUUCAGUUAUGCUUGUGCCUCUAUGCUCGCUAGUACUGUUAGGAGAGACUGAACUUGUGUUUUUGCAUUUUAAAAGUUAAUAGAAGCAGAAACCCAUUGUGGAGUUGCUUGUAGUUUUGGAAAUAAUUCUUUCAGGCAUGUUACUACAACAAGAGUCCUCUCUGUCAGCCCCACUUCUCUAACACAAUGUAACAAUGAAGGUGUUACUGAAAGUCCAAGGUGUUACUGAAAAUUUGGUCAAAAACUCAGCAGCAUUGGGAAAACAGAUUGCCGUGAAACACUUUUUAAUUACUCUCUUGAUACAGUUGUUUAUAGGGGAGCAAAAGAGACCCCUAUGUCACAGAAUAAAGAAGAUACAUUCUCCUGAAAAAACAUGCAUGUAGUGAACAUUUUAGGGUCUGUGUUUGCAUACACAGCUAAUGAUGGAUGCAGUCCUGAUCUGAAGUAGACAGCUAUUUUUGGGUGCUCUGGGCUCUCUAUAUUUUCCUCUGGUAAAUAUUUACCUCUAAGUGGAAGAUUCUUUGCAUGUGAGAAUAACUGCCUGCAAAUGCAGUUGAAAACGUAACUUUGAAUCCAUAGGUGCAAAAAACAAAGACUUUGUUCAUGUCAAGAAUCUGCUGAAUACUCUAUUAUCCAUCUGCCCAUGUGUAAUUUAAUCUGGCACCAUUUCCAGUGAUGUCAUGCCUGGAACGUCCAGCUCUGUGGAGAGGUACUCGCUGGGACAGAGCUGCUGCGUGAGGCAGAGAGAUUAACAGAUGUGGUAACUCACUCUUGGAAUGGAGUUCAUAUCAAGUUGCAUAUUUGAGUAAAGACAGUUUCUGUUCCUUAAGCCAUGUAGUUUUUGAGUAGGCAUAUGUUCAAAAGACAGGUAGGUGAUGAAAUCUAUAGCCAGUUCUUUUGGCUGAAUAUCGUAAUUUUAAGGAAAAAGUAUUCCAUUAAGUUAUUUCAUGUCAUUUCUAGGCAGCUGACCUUCCAAAUGUGGGAUAAGGAGUGUCUGGCAAAAUCUAUUCCACAUUGAUAAAAUUCUGCUGCAUUUUGAGUCAUCUCUCACUAGAGUUAAGAAAAGCUGUGGUCAGUUUUAGCACCAUGUGUAGCUAGGUGGCACAGUCAUCACUCAAGAGAUAAUGAGUGAUGGUAAUGGCUGACUGCUUAUUAGUCAGGAUCUCCCUAUUAAAAGAUGGUCCUGCUGCAACAGAUUUUGACCAUCUUCAAUGCAAUAAGGUUUGUAAAGAAGUUUUCAUAUGUUAAAUUGUUGGGGCUACACGUCCAUAAGAGUCCUGGUAUCUUUACUAGCACUGCCGAAUACUUCGUUUUGUGAGCUUACCUAUUAAUCAUAGAAUCAUAGAAUGGUUGGGUUGGAAGGGACCUUAAAUAUGAUCUAGUUCCAAACCCCCUGCCAUGGGCAGGAACACCUUCCACUAGGCCAGGUUGCUCAAAGCCCCAUCCAACCUGGCCUUGAACACUUCCAGGGAUGGGGAUCCAUAACUACUCUGGGCAACCUGUUCUAGUGCCUCAGCACCCUCAGGGUGAAGAAUUUCUCCAUUAUAUCUAACCUAAAUCUACACUCUUUCAGUUUAAAGCCAUUACCCCUUGCCCUAUCACUACAUAUCCUUGUAAAAUGUCCCUCUUAACUUUCCUGUAGGCCCCUUUAUGUACUGGACUGCUGCUUUAAGGUCUUCCUGGACCUUUCUCUUCUCCAGGCUGGACAACCCCAACUCUCUUAGCCUGUUUUCAUAAAAGAGGUGCUCCAGCCCUCUGGUCAUUUUUGUUUCUCUCUUCUGGACUUGCUAUUAAGGGCAAAAAAAACCAAAGCAGCCACAUAAAUCAAAUACUGCACACACACACAAAGAAAAAACAUUUUUCUGUUCCUCCUCUCUCCAGCUUUAAUGAGGCAUUCAUGCUCCCCACACUUUGGGUUUUGUAAAUAAUAGCCACUACUUUCUUAUGUGUAAGCAACAUCAGCAAAGUAUUUCUCCUUUAAAGUAGGAAACUACUAAAUUUGUCUACUCAAACCAUCCAAAACACUACGUUCUUUUAAUACAAUAUUAUCAACUCAAUGUAAUUUUAACUAAAUAUUACUGGCAUCAAUAAAGAAAUACAACUGCUUGUUGUAAGUCACUAUUAUCCAGCUUGCUGAAUGGAACUCACUAUUUGACAAGGCAACUUCUGCUGCGCCCAAAAUCUAAAACUGUAAAGGAGGUGAAAUAAGAAACUUUCUACGUGUUUUUGUUUUGUUUUGUUUUGUUUUUUGGUGUUGUUUUGUUUUGUUGUUGUGUUUUUGUUUUUUUUUUUUUUUUUUUUUGUUCCUUUUUCUUUUUCUGUAAGAAACUUUCACACUUGAACUUGGAAAAUUAUUCUAUUUUGAUGAAGACCUCUACGGAAUAACAUUGUGUUUGAAAGUGCUUUCCACAUAAGAAGUACUCAAAGGCUUGCUUUGAACCAAGGCAUAAGGACGCAGCACACUUUGCCCUCUAAUUUAGCUUCUGAGUGGAACAUAUCCCAACUCCUGUCUGGCCUACAUUCCCAGGUUCGUUUUCAUAGCCUUUCACAUGUGUAGUGCAAAGAGACAAGCUGAGGCACAGUUCUUGACUCACGUUUUUAAAACCACUUCUGGCUCCAUAGAGGCAAAACCAAAGUUUCAUUCACAGAUCACUCUUCCAAAAGCAAGACCUCACACUGAAACUAUCUAAAAAUAUUGCUUUGUAAUGCAGCAAUAGGGCAGCCUCAAUGAAAAGCUCCCCUUACAGUUUUCGUCCAAAGGCUUCAUAGAUGCAGAUAUCCAGUGGGUUGCAAUUCCAAAUUUCCUGCACUAUUUGACAAUUAUGAAGCAAACUGAUAGUAAUUAUUGAUUCACACAGACUCCCAGACCUCAAAAUCUGUAACUUACACUGGAUGAUGAAGCGUAACUGUCAUGAUAGUAAAACAGAUCAAUACCUCCACUCAUCAGUUAACCUGCCUUCAAUAGUAAAUGAUGGCAAAUAAUCUAGAAAACAACAUGAAAAGCACUGAAAAAUACUUAAGUAGUUAUAUUAUACAAUACUAAUAUGUUUCUUUUUUACUUCACCUGAUCAUUGUUUAACCUCUGGAUUCUGUGCUGACUCAUCCUUGAUUAUAUGGAAGCAAUAGGAACGUCUACUCUACAUGCAAAUAUCCAGUUGCCAUGCAAGUAGACUUGCAAACCCAAGUUAGCAUUAAUUUAACCUCCAGAUUCUCAGUGAAGCAUAAUCAAGGUAGAAAACUUCUAAGUACUCAUCCAAAAUUGCAGCUAAGCACAGACUGUGAAGCCUACAUUGAAAGCACACAGGCUGUCUUGUUGAAAAAUUAGCUCAAGGACACGCCUGAUAUGUCCUUUACCUCAGAAAGAACAUAAAUGGAAGUUGUUAAUGCAAUUACAUUUAAAUUCAGUUGAGAACUGCAAAAGCAUCAUUGUCUAUCUCUUUAUCUAUUGUUUAGAAAAAAGGGCCAUCAACAAAUUAUACUGGAAUUCUUAUGUAUUACGUAUAAAAGCAAUGAUUUACAAUGUCUAUCUGCUAAAUAAAGAAGAAAUCUAAAAUCUUAGACUCACAUUAAGGAGGAUUGUUUAUCACAACCUGAAUGGAAGUGGACAAUCUGAAUAAAUUUCUCUAACAGUUCCACGAGAUAGUGUAAAGUUUUGGUUUUUUUUAAUAAAAAUUGGACUUCCACUAGAAAAUACCUAUUUAAUACCUUUUUUUUUUUUUUUUUCCUUUCACAUUUACAACUGGAAUUUGAAGCUACAAUUCAGGAUUACCUCUAAAUGCUUGGAUAAGUAAGAGAAAUCUAUCCAAGAACAGCUGAAGGAUCAUCUAAAGUGUAUGUACUUUUGGAUGCUGUCCAGGCAUUAGGAAGAACUUUUGUGGACUGGAUUCAGCUGUUCUGAGUUCCCUUAAGAUGUCAGUGCUAAGCAGUUGAUUUGUAACCUAGAAGCCAAUGAAGAGUACAGCCCAUUAGAAAACAGCUGAUUUCUCAUCAACAUCACAUUUUCAAGGGAUUCUGCAGUGAUCAUAACGUAAACGUUGUCUUUUGUAAAACUUUCUAAGAACACAAAUUUAGGAAAAUGUAUAUUUAUGUGUUAGAAAUAGAUGUUAAUUAUGAUCACUGUAGAGCCUAUUCAAGCCAUGACCUUUUUCUUGUUCAAUAUUGGGAAUGAAACCACUUGCUUCAUUCCUAUUCCCAACAUUUUGGAUUGCAUUGUAAAAGCCAGAAUCUGGAGUCCUGGUUACUCCUGAAGUACAAGUGCUGAGUGAAUUUCCUAGUCCAUGUUUUUCUUGGAGAAUAUUGGGAAAAAUAUUGUU